GGAAAAUGAACAAGUACAAGAAAUAGUCGAAGAGGAAGAAAGUGAGGAUGCUAUGAAGAAUGUCUCAGAAGAAAGUGAUGUAAAUUCUACUGACACGGACAGUUAUGGAGCAAAGAGUAGUAUCCUGAAUAAUGAGAGAUUAAAGCAUGUAAAGUCAGUUAGGUCAUCAGCAGAACCUAAUAGAGUAAGAGGGUCUGUCAGGGGCAAUCAACUUUUAGCACAAGAUAAAUUGAUUAGUACUCAAGAUUUAGGAAAUGAGUGGAAAAAUCGAAAUGCGCAUUCAACAAUUCUUUUGGAAAACAAACUCCAUAAGUUGGAGCAAAGAGUAAAGAUGGCAGAAGGAGAAUUGAGAGAAGCUGCUGCAAUUGAAGUUGGCCUCUAUUCGGUUGUUGCAGAGCAUGGGAGUUCCACAAAUAAGGUACAUGCUCCUGCAAGACGUCUGUCGAGGUUCUAUUUCCAUGCCUGUAAAGAUGACUCUCUAUUGAAAAGGGGAUCUGCUGCUAAAAGUGCUGUCUCUGGAUUAAUUUUGGUUGCAAGAGCAUGUGGAAAUGAUGUUCCAAG
rnacentral:misc_RNA from 1 species